rnacentral:rRNA from 1 species
AUUGAACGCUGGCGGCAGGCCUAACACAUGCAAGUCGAACGGUAACAGGAAGAAGCUUGCUUCUUUGCUGACGAGUGGCGGACGGGUGAGUAAUGUCUGGGAAACUGCCUGAUGGAGGGGGAUAACUACUGGAAACGGUAGCUAAUACCGCAUAACGUCGCAAGACCAAAGAGGGGGACCUUCGGGCCUCUUGCCAUCGGAUGUGCCCAGAUGGGAUUAGCUAGUAGGUGGGGUAACGGCUCACCUAGGCGACGAUCCCUAGCUGGUCUGAGAGGAUGACCAGCCACACUGGAACUGAGACACGGUCCAGACUCCUACGGGAGGCAGCAGUGGGGAAUAUUGCACAAUGGGCGCAAGCCUGAUGCAGCCAUGCCGCGUGUAUGGAGAAGGCCUUCGGGUUGUAAAGUACUUUCAGCGGGGAGGAAGGGAGUAAAGUUAAUACCUUUGCUCAUUGACGUUACCCGCAGAAGAAGCACCGGCUAACUCCGUG